rnacentral:sRNA from 1 species
UGCUUGUAUAUUUAAAUGUUCAGCCAUAUGAACCACCAAGAGAUGCUCUAGGUCUGACCUAUAUAUCUGACCUUAAUGAAGAAGAUGCUGAACGAAUAAAAAAUGUUGCAUAUGAGGAACUGAAACUAUUAUUGGAGAAGCACAAUAUUGCAUAUACAAAGACGAAGGCAAAGAAACGAACUACAGAUAGUGGACUAUUUGGGACAGCACUUGAAGUACUUGUUGCAAAGGAUAUUAAGAAAAA